AUUGAACGCUGGCGGCAGGCCUAACACAUGCAAGUCGAGCGGAUGAAGGGUGCUUGCUCCUGGUUUCAGCGUCGGACGGGUGUGUAUUGCCUAGGAAUCUGCCUGGUAGUGGGGGAUAACGUCCGCAAACGGGCGCUAAUACCGCCUACGUCCUGCGGGAGCUAGUGGGGGAUCUUCGGACCUCACGCUAUCAGAUGAGCCUAGGUCGGAUUAGCUAGUUGGUGGGGUUAAGGCCUACCAAGGGGACGAUUCGGAACUGGUCUGAGAGGAUGAUCAGUCACACUGGAACUGAGACACGGUCCAGACUCCUACGGGAGGGAGCAGUGGGGAAUAGUGGACAAUGGGCGAGAGCCUGAUCCAAUCAGGCGGCGUGUGUGAAGAAGGCCUUCGGAGUGGAAAGCACGUUAUGUUGGGAGGAAGGGCAGUAAGUUAAUACCUUGCUGUAUUGACGGUACUAACAGAAUAAGCACCGGCUAACUUCGUG
rnacentral:rRNA from 1 species